rnacentral:rRNA from 9 species
UGCAAGUCGAGCGGUAGAGAGAAGCUUGCUUCUCUUGAGAGCGGCGGACGGGUGAGUAAUGCCUAGGAAUCUGCCUGGUAGUGGGGGAUAACGUUCGGAAACGGACGCUAAUACCGCAUACGUCCUACGGGAGAAAGCAGGGGACCUUCGGGCCUUGCGCUAUCAGAUGAGCCUAGGUCGGAUUAGCUAGUUGGUGAGGUAAUGGCUCACCAAGGCGACGAUCCGUAACUGGUCUGAGAGGAUGAUCAGUCACACUGGAACUGAGACACGGUCCAGACUCCUACGGGAGGCAGCAGUGGGGAAUAUUGGACAAUGGGCGAAAGCCUGAUCCAGCCAUGCCGCGUGUGUGAAGAAGGUCUUCGGAUUGUAAAGCACUUUAAGUUGGGAGGAAGGGUUGUAGAUUAAUACUCUGCAAUUUUGACGUUACCGACAGAAUAAGCACCGGCUAACUCUGUGCCAGCAGCCGCGGUAAUACAGAGGGUGCAAGCGUUAAUCGGAAUUACUGGGCGUAAAGCGCGCGUAGGUGGUUUGUUAAGUUGGAUGUGAAAUCCCCGGGCUCAACCUGGGAACUGCAUUCAAAACUGACUGACUAGAGUAUGGUAGAGGGUGGUGGAAUUUCCUGUGUAGCGGUGAAAUGCGUAGAUAUAGGAAGGAACACCAGUGGCGAAGGCGACCACCUGGACUAAUACUGACACUGAGGUGCGAAAGCG